UAAUAAUAAUAAAACAGGGCUUCAAAAUGAUGAUGGGAUUAAUCAAUAUGUUAGAAGAGAAAGUAUUGAAAUAACUUCACGGUUGGCAUAGCCAGUUGUCGGAUCAGCUCUCCCUUUCAUAGGCACUUGUUAUAACAGGCAGGGGGCUAACCCUCUCAGACAUGGAGCUAAUCAGUCCUUGAAAGUCACUUCAUCCAGUGGAGUGGAAUAAUGUACUCUAGCAUCGUUUGUCCACCUCUACCAUUUGGAGCAAUGUUAUUUAGACUGUCCAUUUUUGCCUCAUCAGCUUCCAUUUCAAAGAUUUAUUUUUUUUUUCCAGUGGCAUCUUUUAUCAGAACGUCAGGUUAAAUGUAUUGUCUCCUACUAUCCCCUUUGUAGUGGGCAUUGUAAAGACCAGUCUGUGAAUAUAUAGCAAGAUAAAGAAAAAGCAGCUGCAUAGUUGGAAUGGCUAUUCUUUAAGCUUGAUUAAGUUCUCACAGAAAAGAAAAAAAAAAUCCGGACAAGAAGUAAGAUCACGAUUAAUGACCAAGAACAAUAUUUCCAGCAAAAAGUUAACUUAAUCAACUUGCUGAACUGCAGGUUCCAUUUACAAUUACCAUGCAGAUGCGGGUAGCUGUCAUCCUGCAGGCAGUGCACGCGCCUGCCCACCCUGUGCAAACAGAUGUUUUUUGUCUCAUUUUCCAAUAUCUGUUUCUGCCCUCCCCACCACAACUGGCUGCCUGCCCUGCCUGCAAGAAUUGGUUCUUUUCCCGAGUCUGGGCUGGGCCUAAUUGAACAUGAAUAGAUUCCCUGGCCCCAAACAGGAUCACUGAACUUGAAGAAGAUAAAAGCUGAUGGACAAGGACAACAGAAUCAACUUUUCUUCACUAGCAGCUAUUCCUCACUGUCACUCAGUGAUACCAGUAAAUUAAAUGUUCACAAGGAAAGUUUUUUUUUAUAAAAGAGGUAUGUCUUUCUCCUGGUACUUGGAUAUUCCUCUUUGGGAAAUUUCCAGGAAAUUAAUAGAAGUAGAACUAGAUGAAACAAUGUUGUCAAUUUGAUUAUAUUGUACAUAGAAUCCUUCUGCUCAUGGAAAUCCUCUUAGUGUGCUAAUUCCACUGUUUGAUUACAUUUAUUUUGUUUAUAUGGAAAAUGUGUUUUGCUGUUGUUAUAAUACUGUCAUUUUAGAAGCUCAUUCCUCCUGUCUGGAGAAGGCUGGUAUCAGCAAGGGAAUAGACAUCUUUUGACAUUUGUUCUUCCAAAUUGACUCCUAAAAUGAGCUCUUAGAUGUUUCCUCUUUGAAAUGCAGUAAUAGCCUGCAAGUGGCUAUUUCAAAAUAUUUCUUACUCAAUGGUCACCAUAGGACUUGUGGUGACUCUAGCUGUGUCCCUUUGUCUUCCAGUGAUUCCCAUUACGUAUAAAAGAUCAUGAAAAUCAAUUUUAUUUUGCAUAAAUGAUUGCCACUUAUAUAUCAAUAGCACAAAAUACAAUGCAUGGGUUUAUGAAUGAGCACUUCCUUCCCUGAGCUGGGAAGAGUCUUGCUGUCAUGCAGAGGGGAAUAUUGAUGGCAGCAAGAUGUUUUCCAGGGGUUUCUGUGUAUGGGCCAUAGUGUAAAAUCUAUCUUGCUCAAUUAGCUUUUUCUUUUUUCAGUGUCACUGUUUGUGUUUGUAAUCACAGUGCAUAAUAUACUUAUUCUUGACCAAACAGUUGAAACAGAAAGGAAGCUAAUCCGAAAAUGAUGGCGAUUCAUUAUGCACAUUUUUCUCUUUUGAUUAAAGGGUUCUUCAAAAUUAAAAAAUGUUGGUCUUAUAUGAAAACCAAUGAGCUUUACUUUAAAAAGAGGAAUAAAACUAAAAAAUAAACAAUCCCUCCUCACCUUUUCCUGUAAAAGCAGAAACUUUCCACAGACUUUUUAUAACUGAACCUAAUUUUUUUACUUUUAUGAUAUUUAAUUCACUUAUUUCAUCACAGUGUACGUAACAUGUCUGAUAGAGCUUCCUACAGUGCUUGGUUCUCUGCUGUCCUCCUAGCCAGUUAAACAUAAGCUAAAGUCAUUACACUAAAACAAAAAGAAAAUGGGGAGGAGUAAGAGGAAGAAAUGUAACCAUCUGAGUCACAUUUGCUGCUUCUCUCCAGGAAUGGUCCCUGAUACCACUCAUUUGAAUAGAAAAAUAAGUUGUGUUUUUUCUGACCUUUUCCAUCUAGUUACAAAUGGUGUUACUUGAAAGGCUAACUCAAGUCUUUUGCACUGUGAGAGUAAUAAUGUAUAAUGGUACUUACGUGUUCUAAAUUAGGCCCUUGCCAAUAAACAUCCUUUUUAACCAGAUACUUACUUUCUUGAAUUUCAUAAUAAAGCAGAAAUUAUCUAUGUGAAACAGGAAAUAAUGUAUGUGGAACAGAAAAAUUAAGGAAAAGUAACUUUGCUGUUCAGCAAAAAUUAUUGGGUAGUAAUUGGCUUCAUUCAACAAAUCUUUAUUAAUCAGAACUGUGAAAAUAGAGUAAAUUAAUUUAAAUAGAGUCUUCACAUCACAAAUCACAAUGAUAAAGAAGAUGGGGCAGAUAGUAAGAUGUGUUGCUUUCAAAUAUUACACAUGAUCACAAGCUUAAUUAUAUACAGUUGAUGUUCUUUGUUUAUCCCUUUGUUAUGAUUCUUCCAGAUUUUCAUUUUCUAUCUUGACUGCUAUGGUUCUUCGUAUGUAUUCCUCUCACAAGAGAAAUCAUCAGCGCUUCUGCAUUUGUGUCUGUAAGCAACUGUUCACUGAAUCAUCUACUUUACACCUACAUGGAGGAAUAAAUUGAUGCUUAAUUGUUUUAUGGGAAUAAUUGAUGCUUCAAAGGAGAGUGGGGGAUCUUUCUGCAACUCUCCUGUAAAAAUUGUUUAAAAGCAUUUUAAAUUCAAUAUCUUGAUAAUAUCUGUUUUAAUACAUCAGGUGAGAUCUUAAUUGAUAAGUCAGUGGAAGUUGUAAGCUGAAAUAAAUCCUGAUAAUAGCUGAAAGCUAAAUUGAAUGGAUUGCAUAUUACCUAUAUUAUUAGUUGAAACCAAUUAAAUUGUUUAAAUUAACAAAGCAUAGUUAGAGAAGGAAAGCACAAUUAUCUUUCCAAAAUGGAUAUAGCAUCCUGAGACUUUGCUCUUGAAGGACAGAUACAAGCCAGUGCCCACCAGCAGCCUGUGCUUCAGUGCUCUUCUGCUGUGCUUCCAGUGUCCUGAGUGAACAGACACUACUCCCUUGUAUCUUUGCUUACAACUAUCAGAUCUCUCCAGUGUCCUCUCCUAUGACUCCCCAUCCUAAAUGCUCUGUAUUUCAAAUCCUACUACAAUUAUGGGUAGCCACGUGCCACAUUACCUGCUAAGAUAGGUGCUUCAUGCUGAAGUUGGGGGAUAUCUGGCUGUUACUAUUUUUCUGCAGUCUAACAUUACAGUGCAAUUGAAGCAAUGUUUCUGAAAGACCAGUUCAGUACAUUAGCUCUCAAAUAUGAAAAAAUACACUUUCAUCAUUGAAAUUAUUCACUUAUAGCAGCACUUCAGCAAAACAUUGUCCACACUGACCUUGCAAUUAUAUCGCAUCUAGUGUGUACUGAUUUACAUACUGUAUGCUUUUCCACCUGUAAUUGAGGCUAUUAAGCAGAAUGCAGAGGCUGAGCUCCACCCUCUGUACCUAGCAGAUUAUACAGAAGGUGCAAACUCAACAAAAUGUGCUGGGGAUGCUGCUGCUGAAGCUACCCUAUGAGGGCUUAUUGCCCAGCAAAGUAACACUCCUGCCUGGCAGGUGCUUCUCAGCACCUUUUGUUCAGUAAAGGUUAUGCCAUUCCCAGUGUAAAUCACACAUACUGCUUAGUAAAAACCAUUCUAAGAGAAGCUAGAGAAUCUGGAAAAAAGGGAGACACUGUGAUGAUGCAGCCUCAUUUUUAGAAUUAGAGUAGAAUUAAAAUUUUAGAUCAGAAUUUUUUCUGUUUUAAUUGCUCCUUGGAAGAGUAUUUAUUUGUAUUUUUGAUAUUUCAUCAACUGAAUGAGGAACUUCUAAAGAUGGUGAAUUUUUAAAUACAAAACCUGUUUUACAUUUAAAUAAUUAUUUGCCCACAAACUUUACAGGAUUUGGGAAUUAAUGUGUCAGGUUAGUCUAGCUCCUGAAAAUAGCAGCAAAUUAAAUCAUGACUUCAUUCAAAAAUAUCUUUAGAUAUUUUAUUUUACAACACUUUUUGUUUUGCACGCUGUUUGGCUAUUAAUGUACUGUAAGCUGAGAAUACUGAUGGCCUAAUUUGCUUCUGAAAACGUGAAAAAUGUCUAAAUCAGAAAUGUCCUGAGGGGAAGGCCCAGGGGAAAUAAUAACAUAAAAGUAAAGCCAUCUUGAGAUCUUAAUCUGGAAUACUAUUUUACAUUGUUCUUGCCAUAUAAAGUAAUUAUGGAAUCAACUAUUAGAAGAUGUUGAAUUAGAGCCUUGGAUGGCACCAAAAAUCACUGUUGUGAAGGACGGGACAGGACAUUUGCAUGUGAAAGGAUUGUGAAUAGUAUCUGUAAAGAAUUGUGAAAUUACUUCCAUAUUUAUUAUUAUAAUUUUGUAUCAUCACAGUCUCAUUUCAGCAUGACCUGCAAGAAUAGAUUAAAUUAAUGUCAUUUUCUCUUCUUGUUAACAUCUUUAUCACAAGAUCAAGCUGUCACAAUUUUAGUGUCUAGAAUAGUCUGCGAAUUACAGAGGGCAAGAGCAGGACCAUUUCCCCGUUCUGCGCCUUGGUUUGCUCACCUCUCCCAGUUCGUUCUUCCUUCCCCACCACGCCGAGUGACAAUCAACAUAAAAGCUCUUUGUAUUCUACCCUCCGGUAAUAAACAGAAGACAGCCUUCACUAUUUUAAACCUCAAGCCAGCUGAGCUCUGUCCUCCAGUGCUCCAGGAUGCACUUUGAAUUCAACAAAAGGGCUCAGCUGAGUCCCAAAGAACCAGAGGGAUGUAGAAGACUUUCCAUAGAAAACCGUAAUUCCAGUAACAAUUCCAGGACUGUCUGGAAAAUGCAUGGUAAAUAUUGUCAAAGAAGAAAACAAAUGGUAGCUCAGGAGUACUUUGUUUGACACACCAAAAUACUUGUGCAUGAGCAUAACUUUGCUGAAAGCCUUUGCCAGGCUGAUGUCAGGCUGUCCCUGUCAAUGAACAAUUGUGUGGAAAUGAACAUGGGCUCAGGAGAAGCAGUAUGAGCUACAUCUGGCUAUUUAAAUCUACUCAACAUGCAAGGCUUUUGGAAGACCCCAGCUCUGCUCCCUUUAGUUAUAUUCUGCUUGAUAAUGAGCAGCAAGGUGAAACCAAUGACUUAAACAAGUAGACAAAUUGUUUUAACUGCUAAUGAAUGGACUGGGGGUAGAAGUCUGCCUUUUUCCAAUAUGGUUUUCUGUGCUGACAGUGCAGAUGAUCUUCCUUUCUGACCAUUCAUCUAACCAUUCCUUAACUUCUACCUGCCAAGGUGUUUGGGUUAAAAAGAAUACCAUAACUUAAUACCAAGAGAGCAGCUGAACAACAGAGCUGACAGAACUGGGAUUACAGUGAUGAAGUUUUGGGCAACCUGCUGUUCCUGUUAGCAGCAAAGAAAAGUGGUCUGGAGCAUUAUUUACAUAUAUAAUUCAUAAGGGUGUUUUGUAGAGGAAAGUAAAACCAAACCCUCAUGGAAUUCCAAAAUAAUCUCUAAUUUCUUUUUGAUAUGCUGAAUAUGUUGACUGCUGAUUUCUAUCAGAGGUUUUUGGUUAUAACUGCAGACCAGUUUCCAGAAGGAUUAGAAGAAUAAGGCAUAAUUUGAUGUAGGACAUGUUGUUGUCAAAUGUUGGCUUUUUAACAUGGUAUAUUUAUAUACUAAUUCCAUUGUAUGUAAAGGGUGAUUACUUAUUUAAUGAAGAGUCUUCACUAGAACAGAGUUUUGUCACAAGAUAAUGGUCUCAUGCUGUUAACUAAAUGGGAAAUCAUUUACUGUAAAAUAUAUACACUCCAAUUUAUAAGAUUACCGUGUACAAGCAAAGAUCCAGCAACGGGAUGUGGGCAAACAUAAGAAAAUAUAUUACCAGAGAAAGAAUAUUUACUUGUCCAUAACGACAAAAGUGGUAACACACAAAAAAACCUCCUACUUUGUUUUAUCUUUAUUCCCAAAUAAAUAUACAUGUCAAAAGCUAGUUAAAUCACUGCAAGUUAAAUGCAUUUGUGAAAAAAAAAAAAUCACUCAUUGGUGACAUCUACAGAACUGCAGAAUUCAACCUUUCUGUCACUUGACACUGGUAAAUAACAAAAGGGUAUUUUCCGUGAGUUUCUAUGCCUCUUGGCUUAGGUACCUUCCACCCCUAAGUACACAUGUUCUGCAUUCAGCACAUGUUCAAGGAGUGCUCCCAGAUCCUCUUUAAGCUCCUCUGUUUCUAUUACCAAUAUAAAUUAAUUUGCAUAUAGGAGUUUCCUAAUAUUCCUGAAUGUGGUGUUAAUAUACAGCUAUAAACUCAAAGUGUUAAUCAGGACUAGUGAGACAAAUAAUCUCCCUAAGGGGAAAGUGUCAGUUACAUAAUCAGAAUACAUUAAAAUCUGGUAAACUGCACGUUUUUAAUAAAAAAGAGCAAAAUGAAGGGCUGAAUUUAUAGCCAGCAGACAAAGGUCCCUUAAAAAUAGACCUAUUAAUGCUUUCUGCAAGGUCAGAUCAAGGAUGAUGAAAUGAGAAUUGACCAAACACAAGAGCAAUUCUCAGUUAAAUAAAAAGCCAGAUACUAUUUUCUUCACUGACAACAGAAAAUGAACAUAGAGACAAGAAAGGUUGAUCACUGGUGCCAAAAAUGUACUUUCCAUUCUCUGAGCUUUCUAAAGUCUCUUCUUUUAUCCAUUUUCUAUUUUUCAUCAUAUUGCCAUUCUCCUUUUUUUGUCAAUGACCUUUCUUCUGUCCAACUCAGCUUCUGUCUAAUGACCUGAAGAGGCCUUCUUCACAGCCUGGAAAGCUUUAUAUUUAAGAUCCCCCUCCUUCAUUAGAGUGAAAAGUGAACAGCCUCUAUGUGCUGGGUGUUAAUGAAUGUGAAGAAAGAUUUUUUUUGUAUGUGUUUUACACAUUAUGUUCUUGACUCCUUGAGGUGCUACAAUAAAUUGCUGCGCUUCAUUUACAAGGAGUGAUAACAGAAGCAAAAUGAGGAUCUGGCAGCAAAUUACUUCUCAGUUCACCCUGGGUCAGGCUGCUGGGGCUAAUGAGAAGAGGUGCUCUAAUUUUAAACUCCUCCUCAACCAAGCUAUUCUUGCAUUAAUGUUCACUGCUAUAAAUUGUAAAGUCAAAUGAAGGAGCACUGUUGAAAAUUAACCAGUAUUUUUAUCCUUUGAGUACCCAAUAGAACAUAUUUUGGCUUCUAAGCCUGGUGGUUAUCAAAGGCAGCACAGCUACACCAGCCGCUCCCGCCUCACCACGGCAGGAUGCUCCUCACACACGCACACACACACACACCGCUGUUUCUGCCUUUGCUUUACAUGAGAGGCAAAAAUAGUAUGGCUUUACAACCAAGUUAUAAUUUAUCUCAAAGAAGAAGGUGUUUAAAGCCAGCCUUUUUGUGUUGCUUUAACAGGACUCUGCAGACAGACAUUAAAAUGGUGCAGAAUUACUCCAUCCAUUUAAUGCUACCACACAUGUUUAAUGAAUUGUAAUUGUGUAUAUAGAAAGACCCUGUAAAUCACUGACCCGUUUAUGUCUAUGAACUCCUUGUUGCUGUAACCCAGAGCAGGAUUUGAGUAGUUAAUGAGAAACUAAUGCAGCACCUGCUUCUCAUGAAAUAGCUUCCUAAGCCUGUAUUUCGUCAAUUCGAUGAAAUCAAAUACAAUACAAAUAGGAAAAAAUAAAUAAACAGAAUAAACCCCCAAACCAAAACUAUAGUCCAGGGUUCAUAGUCAGGGUGUUACACAUCUUGGAAGAACAUGAUUCUAGAUUUUCAUCACUGGAUUUUUAUUGAUAACUUGGCACUGACUACAAUGACAUUAAUAUAUUUGAAAUAUAUAUCAAUGGUAUGGCAUUCAUUUUUUGUGAGAUGUGUCUGUCCUGGUACAUUCUUCCAUGAAAUUACUACAUAACAUACAAAUUAACCACACUACCCUACUCUAAUCAUUGUAAUCAGUUAUGUUUUCAUGUGUACAUUACUAAUAUAUAAGGUUGUUGUA